UACGUAGGGGGCAAGCGUUGUCCGGAGUUACUGGGCGUAAAGCGCACGCAGGCGGUCUCUUAAGUUUGGAGUGACAGUUGGUGGCUUAACUGCCAAAGUGCUUCGAAAACUGAGAGACUUGAGGGCUUCAGAGGGACACGGAAUUCCGGGUGGAGUGGUGAAAUGCGUAGAGAUCCGGAGGAACACCAAAGGCGAAGGCAGUGUCCGGGGGAGUACCUGACGCUCAGGUGCGAAAGCCAGGGGAGCGAACGGG
rnacentral:rRNA from 1 species